GACGAACGCUGGCGGCGUGCCUAAUACAUGCAAGUAGAACGCUGAAGGGAGAGCUUGCUCUUCUGGAUGAGUUGCGAACGGGUGAGUAACGCGUAGGUAACCUGCCUGGUAGCGGGGGAUAACUAUUGGAAACGAUAGCUAAUACCGCAUAACAUUGACUAUUGCAUGAUAGUCAAUUGAAAGGUGCAAAUGCACCACUACCAGAUGGACCUGCGUUGUAUUAGCUAGUUGGUGGGGUAACGGCUCACCAAGGCGACGAUACAUAGCCGACCUGAGAGGGUGAUCGGCCACACUGGGACUGAGACACGGCCCAGACUCCUACGGGAGGCAGCAGUAGGGAAUCUUCGGCAAUGGACGGAAGUCUGACCGAGCAACGCCGCGUGAGUGAAGAAGGUUUUCGGAUCGUAAAGCUCUGUUGUAAGAGAAGAACGAGUGUGAGAGUGGAAAGUUCAC
rnacentral:rRNA from 1 species